UACAGAGGUCUCAAGCGUUGUUCGGAUUCAUUGGGCGUAAAGGGUGUGUAGGUGGCGCCGUAAGUCGGGUGUGAAAUCUCGGGGCUUAACUCCGAAACUGCAUUCGAUACUGCGGUGCUUGAGGACUGGAGAGGGGACUGGAAUUCAUGGUGUAGCAGUGAAAUGCGUAGAGAUCAUGAGGAAGACCAGUGGCGAAGGCGGGUCUCUGGACAGUUCCUGACACUGAGGCACGAAGGCCAGGGGAGCAAACGGG
rnacentral:rRNA from 1 species